rfam:Salmo salar isolate Sally breed double haploid chromosome ssa12, whole genome shotgun sequence.
UGCAUUCACUACUGUAAGUCGCUCUGGAUAAGAAGGUCUGCUAAAUGACUCAAA